AAGAAGAGUUGAAAAGUGAGAUCAAAAAGAGAGAUAAAAAUCUGGGAGAGGAUUACAGAUUGGUUGGAUGAGAGAGGUGGAGAAAUCAGUGGCAGUUUAGUGUCUAUGGUUGGAAAGGAUUGUCGUUUAGAUUAUUGGGAGAUGGAUUUGUGG